AUUGAACGCUGGCGGCAGGCCUAACACAUGCAAGUCGAACGGUAACAGGAAGCAGCUUGCUGCUUUGCUGACGAGUGGCGGACGGGUGAGUAAUGUCUGGGAAACUGCCUGAUGGAGGGGGAUAACUACUGGAAACGGUAGCUAAUACCGCAUAACGUCGCAAGACCAAAGAGGGGGACCUUCGGGCCUCUUGCCAUCGGAUGUGCCCAGAUGGGAUUAGCUAGUAGGUGGGGUAACGGCUCACCUAGGCGACGAUCCCUAGCUGGUCUGAGAGGAUGACCAGCCACACUGGAACUGAGACACGGUCCAGACUCCUACGGGAGGCAGCAGUGGGGAAUAUUGCACAAUGGGCGCAAGCCUGAUGCAGCCAUGCCGCGUGUAUGAAGAAGGCCUUCGGGUUGUAAAGUACUUUCAGCGGGGAGGAAGGCGAUAAGGUUAAUAACCUUGUCGAUUGACGUUACCCGCAGAAGAGCACCGAACUC
rnacentral:rRNA from 1 species